CGGUAGGAAGAUCAAGAAAUUUUGCCAAAAUAUUAUUAGUGAUUCUUGAGUUUCUCCCGGCGUAUAAAAUAUUAUUACGUCAAUGGAGUCAUAACAUUUCAUUCUGCAGCUGAAAGGAAAUUAAUAACAUGAGAUUACUCUUGCUGAUGAACCAGAUUUCUACCCUGCUCAACACCACGCAGCAGCUCUUCGCCAUCACUGCAUGCCCGACAGAACUAGCACUGCCUACUACUACUUUUCAAGAGUUUAGUGAACAAGACGAGGAAUGGCUCGAGUGGCUGAACCAGUUCAAUGUGCGUAUGGUAGCUCACAACGUCCCAGAUUCAUGAGUCCAGUGGACAGUGUGGCAGCAGCAGCCACCAGAGAUUGUCAUCACGACACCGUGGGAUGAGCCCAUGGAGACAGCCUUCACCUCCUCUCCCUCCUCUCGUCCUACCGAUGGAGCUGGAUCCACCUACACUGCAGCAGUCACUGCCUCCUUCAUCUGGUUCAUAGCAGCAGGAGGUGGACGUGUACCCUUCUGGUCACUUUCCGGGGGAUGUUCCUGCCAGAACGCAGGCCGGAUGGUGGGGUACAGCCAUAAGCUGAUCGUCCCCUGCAGCCAUGGCUUCCGGUCCGUCAGUGUCCACACUCCUGCAUCCCCUGUCAUGGUCGCACACCAUAUCCGACGAGUCUGUUGCUUUAGGGGAGGGGGGGAGGAAUAUUCUGGCAUAAUUACAGGUGCUGGAAUGUAGAUACGGAAUGCAAAGGCAGAGAAGGCACUGAGGUAACACUGGCCAAUUGUCGCACCAAGAACAACACCUAAAAGAAGGAAACAUAAGCAUCGCUCCUGCUAGUCUCAGCAGCUCAGAUCGGCACCGGAUUGCGGACAUUGGUUAUCAGUGACGUGUGACAACUUGCCUGAACAGUUCACAUAUCAAGGACUCUAAAUUAUAUUGCAAGUCACCCCUUGUUUGCAACUACUACUUGUAAAUCUCCAAAGUUAAGUAUUGUGAAUUGCUUUAUAGAAAUAAAAUGACUAAAGUUA